rnacentral:rRNA from 1 species
AGUGAACGCUGGCGGUAGGCCUAACACAUGCAAGUCGAACGGCAGCACAGUAAGAGCUUGCUCUUACGGGUGGCGAGUGGCGGACGGGUGAGGAAUACAUCGGAAUCUACUUUUUCGUGGGGGAUAACGUAGGGAAACUUACGCUAAUACCGCAUACGACCUACGGGUGAAAGCAGGGGAGCUUCGGACCUUUCGCGAUUGAAUGAGCCGAUGUCGGAUUAGCUAGUUGGCGGGGUAAAGGCCCACCAAGGCGACGAUCCGUAGCUGGUCUGAGAGGAUGAUCAGCCACACUGGAACUGAGACACGGUCCAGACUCCUACGGGAGGCAGCAGUGGGGAAUAUUGGACAAUGGGCGCAAGCCUGAUCCAGCCAUACCGCGUGAGUGAAGAAGGCCUUCGGGUUGUAAAGCCCUUUUGUUGGGAAAGAAAAGCAGCAGGUUAAUACCCCGCUGUUCUGACGGUACCCAAAGAAUAAGCACCGGCUAACUUCGUG